UCUGCUUGUACUUGUUUGAUCAUAGAAGCUGCUGAAUAAAUAAAUGAACUUGUGUCAAGUAUGACAAAUAGCCGUUUAUAGGAAAUUCUAACCUCCUGUCCUUUUACUUUAUAUUGCCCAGUUAAUGUGUAUGAUGUGCAUCAUAAAAUAAUCUGUCAUCACAACGUUUCUUGUAGUAAUGAUAAUAUUUCCUUACAGCUAUAUAUAUUACUUGGUUACCCCCAUGUCAUCCUUAGCAAUUCUUUGCUUACUGAUUAUCUUUACAUGGUAGAAGGGUAUUCCAGGGAUACAUUUAUAUGUAGGUUAGAGGUAGCAAAAUGGGCCAGCCGGUGUUACUAUAACUAUGUGGUCAUUUAUGAGUUUAUAGAACAUUAUCAUUGGAUUGGACUGGAUCCCGGAUCUUAUGGCUUUGAAAAUAAGGAUUAGUGUGUUCAACUCGCUGUUCUGUGGGCUGUAUGACAAGGAGAUCGAGACAGGAUUUGGUCAACUCGCUGUUCAACUCGCUUUGAAAUUAUUGAAGUUUGUAGGAUGUGACUGUGGUUCAUGUUGGUAUAAUACUAUUUUACCAGAGGAGCAGCAGCAACAGCUAGGGGUAAAUCAACAAACACAGCUCCUAAUAAAAAAGGAGAAAAGGAAAAAGAAUCAACAACAUAACACCACCCACUUAUGAAAAAGAUGAGUGGCAAAAAAAAUUGCGGACUUUAAUGUCCAUUCGAUUCAUGCCCAAAGACUCUUUUACAGGGAAGUUUAUAUUGUUUCUUUUCUUUUCUUUUUUAUUAGAUUUUUUUAUUUUACUAGAUAUGUAUAAAUUUUUACAAUACUAAUCUAAACUUUUCCAAUAAAGCAAAGUAGAAGGUUUUAUGCAUCUGAUGACUUUAAACACCCAAUUUAGUUGAUCAAUCCAUUUCUGUAGUUGAUCAAUCCAGUUUACUACUCCACCGAUUUAGUUAGAUAUAUAUAUAUAAGUGGGUUGAAAUUACCAGUUUAGUCAGAUGACCAAUUUAUGCUAAACUGUUUCACAAUAAAUGCGAGAAUCCUCUGGCAGCUAAAUUCUAUUUCCUGCAUCUAUAUUGGUGUCUUGAAUAGUUAAUCAGUCUUUUACCUUAAUCCAUUUAGAGAUAAUUAAUAGCCCAACUCAACCAAUUUAGAGGGUCGAAAUUGCCAUUUCUAUCUGGAACUAGACUAAUUCUUGAUGUAUAAAUCCAUCUGAAACUUAUGCCCAACUGUUUCGCAAUUUAAUUGUGAGUAACAACUCUGACUGCUAAUUUGUAUUUCCAGAAUCUGUAUUGGUGUCUCAAUUACUCCAAGAUUCAACAUUUUCUGCAUGUAUUCCUGCAAGAAAUAUGUAUUAGAGUGACUGACUUUUACUCGACAAUUUUGAUCAAGGUCAGGCACUUGCGUCAGAUUCGAGUUUAACCAUUGCAGAAGAGCAGAAAUUCGUAAUUCUUGAGAUAUGCCUCGACCAGGUACUCAUAGUUGGGAAGGGGGAUUGAAGAAAGAGGCGAGGAUCCAUGAAGUAGCUGAUGAUGUUUUGGAUGAAGGUGAAGAGGAAGAAGUUGACGUUGACUAAUGCUUCAGUAGUAUUAUUUACUUGUUUAAUUAGCUGUCAGAUUAUUUUGUAGUUUUUAGUUAGUUCAUGUCGUGUUUUAGUGGAUGGUUAGUUAGUGGUGUCGAGUCUAUGGAUCAUGUCUACUAGAAGUUAUCUAUUAUUUAUUUAUGGAUCAUGUCGUUGUAGUCUAUUUUUAAUGGAAUGAAAGAAUUAAAUCCGUAGAAUUUGAUCACUUGCUUUUGUUCAACUUUUUUUUUUUCCAAUAAAUAUUUAAUGAAACAUGUAUAACCAGAUGAUCUGGUGUUGCUCAAUUCAGGGUGCGUGUGAAUUCUGCUACAUUCUGUGUGACCUUGGCAGCAUCUUUGUCACCCAGGCUUGGAGCAACCCAAAUGGCCAGGCAGGUUUAUCCCCGAUGCUUCUUUGAUUUUGUCUUACACAUGAUUGCUAUUAUCUGUUUAGUUGGUGAACCUGCGUUAUUGAAAAGCUAUACGUCUAAUAUGGC